ACUGUGCUUCAGACUCUCUGGCUUCUCCACACAUGUUUGGCAUACAUAUUGCAACUCUUGGUUUGGUGCUAGCAACCUGUUUCCUUUUUGAGGAAAAGCUAGCCAACCAGUUUCUGCAUCUUGCAGGCUCAGGGUUUCAGAGUUCAGACCAGCGAAAUGGCGAGUGGAUAUGAAUAUGAUCCCUCAAUGUCGAGAAUGCGAAAUGCAGCUUCUUUCUUCACAGUUGUCGACUCAUGAAGCUCGCAAAAUCAUGGUGAACUCCCCAAAGAUCAGUUCGUAAUGGCUUUGUGUUAUCAUCUUGUACAAUCUUUGUCUGGAUCAGUAUGGUUCUGAAUCAAGACAGGAAACACAAGUAGCCCUCCAGUCCCUUCUCCGAUCUUGUCUACUAUUUGUUAAAUGAUGUGAGAAAGCUAUAUAUCAUGUUAAUUGUUAGUUUGACGUCAUCUUCCCAACCGUCUCCGGCGAGUUUCAUGAAUGUGUUGUGAUCACUCAUCAUGCAUGAGUUCGGUCUCAAUCUUCAGUCACCCAAAACACAAUACUGAAAUACGUACAAGAUAAUCAAGAUUGAGUAAUUUGGUCUCGGUCAAGACCGAAAUACAAUAAUUUUAGAGUUGGAAAGAAAUCACAUAAAUUAUUAAAAAAAAUAUAAUAAAAAAAUCCACAAUAAUAAUAAAAAAAAAUCAUGUGUCACUGGUAGUGGGUGCCCUCCAGUCGACCUCCUCCGCCUGUCGCCGCGCCCUCCUCUAGGACACCACCACCACUAGAUCUUCUGAGGAGGACGGGUUGCUGACCCCUAGGCACCAGUGAUUCAGAGUGGCGGGACAAUGACAUGGCGGAAUGGUGUGAUGACCAAAAUGACUGAAUAAAAUACGGUUAGUUGAACCCUAAGACCGAAGUGAUCUGAUGAUCGAAUUUGUCGGUCUUCAUUUUCCGAUCUCAGUCACGGUCUUUUCGAUUCAGUCUAUUUUUGCUAUCCCUAGCUGUACUGAACAAAACACUCGAUUCUCAUAUAUAUAUGAUCAUGUCCUGUUUGCUCUACAUUUAUAAAAGAUAAGACCAAUGAGCACAGGUUGAGAAGAUGAAGAAGACUCGAUGGAUGAUCGACCUCUUGUUCUUGCCAUGAUAGCUAGGCUUGGGAGGAACCGGGAGCUGUCUUUUUACACAUAACCAUCUUCCUACCAUAUUCUCCGCGGUUCAUUUGUCAAGUUAGUAGAUCUCAUUAACCACUCUUAUUCUCAACGGAUCAUAUUACAUUUUAUAUGUAACUGGUCACCAUGCAUCUACUUUCCUUGGUAAGGCUAUAGAUUAGAUCAAAGCAAAAAAAGAACAAAUAAACAAAAAACGCUUCGAGCAAAUUCAAAGUGCUCUAUUGCUUACCAACUGGUUUAGUCUAUGUCACUUUAAAUGAUCUCCCAUAAAUUCUUCUUGCUCCGGGUUCGGUCUAAAGAUUCGAUUGCUUUUUUACACGAUGUUCUAGAGUUGUAUGAUUGGGUGAAAUGAUUUUGGGAUGGACGUUAAAGAAUAUCAGCUACUAUAUUUCUGAUUACUCUGUCAGUAAUGUGUGAAUUUACUUCCAGUUCCAGCACAAGCAUUCAUUCAUCCCAUCAAACAUCAUAAUCAAACCCAGCUGCACAUUGAACUCGGAUACAGGUCCUGAAUGACUGAAUUUUUAUUUAGACAGUAAAUUAAAUUCCUGUGUAAAAUACCAUAUGAUCUCCUAUGCUCCAUAAAAGAGCAGACGAAAUGAAGAAGCAUCAACUUGUUUUUCUUUCCUGACAUUCAUAGAGAUGAAGAAGAGGAGCUCAUGUAGUUAGGCCUGGGAGGCGUCAGGAUAUAUCAGAUAAGCUAAUUGUAAGAUGCUGAAACCAUUCUUCCUCUCAAGCAUCAAACAAGUUUCAGACUCCAAUGGACUUGUUUGGCAUGCAACCCCUUGAUCAUUUGAUGCUAGCUAGCAGCCAGUUUUCGCAUCUUGCAGAGUUCUUCAGUGUUGCAGGAGAUGAUUUCUCAGUCCGGAUUAUCUCAGUGUUGAGGGUUUGUGAUAACAAAGAAACAAUUCAGCAUUUGUUCUUCGAGUGCCCCAUGACAAGAUUCACUUGGAAUGUGAUGGCUUGUGUCUUUAACAUAAAACCUGUCAAUGACUUACAUUUCACUUUAGGAUCCUGGAUUAAUUCAAGCAUGUGACAAAACAACAAAACAGCUGCUGCUAGUUGGAAUAGCUGCAGUGAUUUGGGCUGUGUGGAAAGUUAGGAAUAAAUCCUGUUUUGAUCAAAUUCUCCCACAUGAUCCUACUGAUAUUUUAUAUUAUGCUGCUUGCUCCCUAAUGACUGAUUGGGCCCUUUUUGCAGAGUUCGGAGGAAAAGCAAACAAGAUUGAUGUGGGGGGGGGGGGGUGCAAUUGCUAAUAAUAAGGCAAAUAACAAAUGAAGUGUUCAAGUCGCAAUAUGGAUGGAGGACAAAUUAGAGAAGACUACGAAACGAUAAAAAGUUGGAAGAACUGAGGAAGAAUGAAGAUGUGAAUGGAAUGUUAUGCAGACACAUGUGAAUGGCAUCUUAAAAGUUGCUGCUGAGUUUUUAGCACUAAGUUGUAUGGUCGAAGACCUUAGACUGUUGGGCUGUUGUCGGUCGGCAAACAGUUGUUUUCUGUUUUCUUUUCUCCUCUGUUGGUUGUGAGCACCUGGGGGAGUUCUCCUCCCUGCAGGUAGUAAGACUUUUUUUUUUUGUAGUAGUAGUGCCACAUUUCUUUAAUAGAAAUGGAGGGUAGAUGCAACUCUUGAUUUGAUGCUAUAGCAACCAGUUUCUGCAUUUUGCAUGGCUUCUUCAGGGUAGCCACUAGCCAGAGAUUGCAGUUGUGAGUAGAUAUGAUGAUCCGCUGGACGCGGGAUGGCGGUGAUCGAACUUCAAGUGCCAAUUCCAUUGACGUGAAAAUGUGAUGCAAUAGCUUUCAUCAUAUUUGAUAAACUUGUUCAGACCCCCAAGGUCCUAAUAAAUAACAAAAUUAACGAAGUUAAGCUACAUUUGAGAUUAAUUACAUCUAGAUCAUCUUCUCGUUAUAGGCUUACAGCAUACAAAGAGAUGAGAUAGUGCAUGUGCAUAAACAGCACAAACAUAUGCUGCUGAGAAAAAGAGGAUGAUCUAAUAUUAACCAUAUGGUAGUUAGGCAUGGGAGGCAUUGGGAGAUCUCUCCUGUCAAUGGGUCACUUGCUGCUGUGUUUCUUUUGCAGAGCGUAUUCAGAAUUUUCACCACAUACAAUGAACCAAAUGUUUCAGAUGCACCAGGGAGUACUCAGAUUACAUUCUGCAUGUAACUAGUCUCAAUGUAUGUGAUCUAUCUUUCUCUCAUUGUCACCUCGUGCAAGUUCUUAACCUAACCAUUUUGUACUUCUGGAUUUUCAUCUAGUUUUCUCCUAGAAACAUUGAUACAAAUUUGUUGAUGCAUCAGUCUGGCCUGCUAUGUCCAUCGACUAGAAGCCCAUCGAGGAACAAAACACGCGAAUGUCUAAACAUCAUGAAUAUUGGACUGUAGUUGGAAUAUGCACUUAGCUGAACUUCUGAAAAGACAUAAUUAUUCAAUCCAUCUGUUCGUUUAUUUUUUCGAAAUGUCCUUACAAGUUCAGAGUAGACUGUAGGAGCAUGCUUCUGUUCAUCCAAAUAAUUGUCAAUUUCACGUAAAAAGAAAAUUACUAAUUUCAUGCAUUGUUUGCCUUUCUCCAUGACAGCCAAACCAAACAUCUUUAAUUUUUUUUGAGAAGAUCCAAAUGUCUUGGUUUAGAGCUUUUAUUUCUUAAUUGAGAAACUUUAUAGUCUUUAAGAGUUACCGAGAGGGAAAGAUUUUUGGUGCAAAAAUUUUGUACUCAUAAAUCCUAGUACGUGAGAUACAAAAAGGUAUUAAAUUUUAAAGUAAAAAGUGUGGUACCUCCCGGUAGCCUUCUUAAGAACCAUAAAAUUAAUUUUCUUAGUUUGGUGAAGUGGCAUUGGUGAACAUUCAUUAUACUAUUGAAAGCAGGAGAUGAAGGAGAACAAUUCAAUGAUUCAUUGGUCUGUCAUAAUCUCAUCGAUCACUACCACUUUAUAUAUAUGGAGAUAUUGAUCUAUCACAAUGUUAGAUAGUCCACUCUCAAGAAAGAAUUAGCAUUAAUUACACGUCUCUAGUUUUUCCAGAGCUAAGUUCUGCAUUUAAAUGAUGGCAUUAGAUCAUAUGAUAUAUAGAUCAAUGGACACAAAUGCUAGAGAGAGAGAGAGAGAGAGAGAGAGAGAGAGAGAGAGAGAGAGAGAGAGAGAGAGAGGAACAUUGUUCAUGGAACUAGAAACUAAAUUUUCAUGUUCGUUGGCCUAGGAGGUAUCAGGAGUUCACAUGUCACCUUGAUACACUGCCGAACAACUGAAUGUAGCAAACCCAUAUAGGUGGUGGCUGAGAUUUUUACUCCUCUUCUGAAUCCUUGCCCUACUAUUUUCUCCAUCUCAUUUAAAAAUAGUACAAGGAAGGGAAUAAUUAUCCAAAGAAUCAAGGAUAUGAGAGGGUAAAGUUGCAAAUUACACUAUUUGAAGGUGGCUUGUUGGUGGUGAGGAUGGGCAGCUUGGGGCGGCAGCUGGCCGGCUACGUUAGUCAUUGGGGGUAAUGUCGUCGCUGGCAAUGUGUGGUGCACAUCUCUCUUUGUUGUUUGCUAAUCCACUACACGGUAAAUAUUGUACAGCCAGACAGAAUUCGACUAUCUCUAGAUGAGAAAUAUGUUGUAAAUAUACUUUAUAAAAUACUUAGUCACACCCAAGAAGAAUUUCCUGGAGAUGCCACUGAUUUAAUUCGGUGGUGUACAUGUGAUACAGUUCUUUUGGAUGCAGGUCGUCUGCAGUACUGCACUGCAGGGGAUCUCAGUUGAGUUCUUUUUGCUCAUGGUUUGUUCGAAAUUCAGCUGAUAAUCGUGCUUAUCUGUAUGGAUCGGUGUGCCAUCUUACACAAUCUUGUCCAUAUUAGAGAAAAAAAACAGACACAGAGACUUCCCAUCAAUCCAUCAUCCUUUGAUCUCUUGUUAAAUGCAGAGGGCAAACAUUGUUAUAAUCUGAUCUCGUCUUCUGAAAUUUCGGACCCCCCUGCACUAAUCGAUUUCGCCCGAAAACUUCAGUUUUUUUUUUAACUUUUUUAGAUUUGGUUGGCGACGAUUUGAAUCACCAGGGAGCAAUAGUGAAAAUUUGAAUUUAGAACUUUUUAAAGUUGAUUUUGCCCUUUUUUUUCAGCUUGGGUUUUGAACUGCUAAGAAUAGUCUUAGCAGUAUAAAAGUCUUACUAGAAAAUUAUUUAUUUUCAUUUUUUGGCUUUAUUUUUCUUGGUUUAUAAGCCAGUAGCUCAAAUGCUCAAUCAAUGAGACAGCUUGGAUCGAUGAUAGCGUUCCAAUUCUCAGGUGAGUUAAAGGAUAUUUCGACUUUUUUAAAAGACAUAUUUCGACUUCAAAGAGGGGUUUCCUACGCAAAACACCACUUCCUGACAUUAUUGGUGUUUAUCUGAUAAAUUAGUAGUCACAAAAUAAAUUUGGCACCAAUUAGAACUGUCACCUCGUUAAUUUGGUCUCAGUUUUUUUUUCUGUUUGCAUCAGUACUGCCUAGCUAAUACAGAGUAAUAAUACUAGUGGUUUAUUAUGCAUUGAGCUCAGCUGUACUGAACAAAACAAUCAAUUUUCAGAUACGGCCAUGUCCUGACUCCUGUUUGCUCUACAUAUAAAGGAGUACAUGUAGAUGGAGAUUGUUCAUUCCAAUGGCUAGUUGGUUAUCGAUAUGGGAGCUAGCUAGUAGGCUUGGGAGACACCAGGAGCUGCUCUAUUACAGCGAAUUUGCUGAAUUCUGCAUUUGAUGGUAGGAGCUCUUGAUCAUUUGAUGCUAGCAAACCUGCUGCUGCAUCUUGCUGGCUUCUUCAGGCCGCACAGCUGGAAGAAGACGACGUCAACUGGACAGAUGAAUCCGGUGCACUGAUACCAUGUUAACUCUAGUGAAUAAUAGAAAUAGGGAAUAGAUUUGUUGUGUAUAUAUUGAGUUAGCGCCAAUGACAUAUAUUGAGUACAAUAGAGAUGAGAAAUACCUCUAAUACCCCCGACACAUCUCUACUCCCUCCAUCCUAUAUUGAUCAUCUCGUAAGAUUUUUGAGGUCUUCCCAAAUUCAUGAUCAUCUAACUGUGCCUAUUCGUUUAUUUGUGCAAAAUUAAAUAGCAUUGUAGCAUGUCUGGUUGUUUAUAUGAGCAGGAGUCAAUGUCAUCGCUGCAUGUCAAUUCAUUUAUCUGUACAGGAGUAAAUAGCAUCGUUACAUGCUCACCUUAAUCGAUAAGAUUUAAUUUAAGGAAGGAUGUUUUCUUGCCUUGGUCUUGAUGCCCAUUUAUAAAUGAGAUUUGCUCCAGUCCAGCAAAAAGUACCUCGAGAUACCGGUAUCUCACGGUAUCAAAUCGUUUCCGAUCGUUGGAUCAAGCUGGACAUUGUUAGAUCUAACGAUCGAAAAUGAUUUGGUACCGUGAGGUAUUGAUACCUUGAGAUACUUUUUGUUAGACUGGAGUAAAUCUCUUUAUAAAGACGAUGAUCAAAUUGGGAUGGUGGGAAUAUUUUUUUAACUGGUAGUAUGACGUUGUUAAUCUUGAUAUCAUCUUCUCGUCGCCCUCCAGCGAGUUACAUCGGUGCUUUGUGAUCAGUAGCACGAGUGCUGUUGAAGCUUGCAGCUUGGCUGCUGUGCUCGUGCAGCCUUCGAUCGAUCAAACCAGUGCUAUGUAUAGAUGUGAUGUGUGGUAAUGAGAUUAUCUGAUAAAUUGAUGCCAAAUUUCUUGGCAGAAAAUAAACCUUGGAUUUAACCAUGGUAAUUCGGCAUGGGAGGCACCGGGAGAUGUCCUGUGAAUAGGUCGCUUACCUGCAGUGCUUUUUGGCUGAGCGUUCAGUAUACCCAAUGAACCAAAUGAGAGAGAUGCCCCAGGAAUCAAUUUAUAUCUUUCUCUCACAGCAUUUUACAUCCAGAUUUUCUUUCAUUGUCCCUAUAAAAUUUGAUACAAUUAUUAGGUUGAUGCAUCAUUCAGGCCUGCUAGGCCCAUCAUUAACUGGAAGCUCAUCUGAGGAACAACACGCGCGCGAACGUCUAAAUGCCAUGAAUUGGACUGUAGUUGGAAUAUGCACUUAGCUGAACUUCAGAAAAGACAUAAUUCAAUCCAUCUGUUCGUUUAUAUUUUUCCAAAAUGUCCUUACAAGGUCAGAGUAAACUUUAGGAGCAUAUGCUUCUGUUCAUCCAAAUAAUUAUCAAUUUCACGAACAAAAAACAAUUACCAAUUUCAUGCAUUGUUCACCUUUCUCCAUGACAGCCAAACCAAACAUCUUUAAUUUUUUUGAGAACAUCCAAACGUCUUUAUUCAGUGCUUCAUUUCUUAAUUGAGAAAUUUUAUAGUCCUUAAGAGGUACUGAGAGGGACCAAGAUUUUUAAUUAGAAAAAUUGGUACAUCCUAAUGCGUGAGAUACUAAUAGGUAUCAAAUUUUAUAUGAAAAAGUGUUGUACCUCCUAGUACCCUCCUUAAGAACCAUAAAAUUAUUUUUCUUAGUUUGGUGAAGUAGCAUUGGUGAAAAUUCAUUAUACUAUUGAAAGCAGGAGAUGAAGAGUACAAUUCAAUGAUUCAUUAUUGGUCUGCCAUAAUCUCAUUGAUCACUACCAAUAUAUAUGUAUUGGGAUAUUGAUCUAUCACAAUGUUAGAUAAUCCAGUCUCAGUUACGUGGACAUACAUUUAUGUGCUACAUUGAAGUACUAAAAAAUGAGGGUGUUGAGCAGCUACAUCAGACCAAAUAUUACUUAGUAUUGACACAAAAUUGGUAAAUUUUACAGAGGUCUCUACUGCUAGUAGAAGUGAUCCAUGCCCAUCAUCAUCUUAAAUCCAAGGGGCUAGACUUACUUAUACUGCCAACCAUGGUUUGCAAGUUCGUUUCAAAAUUUCCGAGACCCACUGGCACGAAAAUAUUUGGCCCAAAAUUUCAAUUUGUUUCAAUCUUUUUUUUUUGUUGUACUCUUUGUUCUUGUUAGUCCUUCUUACUUCUGUAACAUGUACUCCAAGAUUAAAGUCUCAACUUAGUGGGGAUAUAGUACAAAUGGUCAGGACUUUUGGUUUUAUUUUCCUUAUUUUUCCCUUCCCUUUGGAUUUGUUCAGAAAACUAUCAGAAUCAAAGCAGGGGCAUAGCUGCACAUUGAUCUCGGCUGCAUGUCUUGAGUGAUUGCAUGGAAUCAGACAAUUAAUUCCUGUAUGAUAGCAUUCUAUCUCCUCUGCUCCAUAAAACAGCAGACGAAAUGAAGUAGCAGCAGCUUGUUUUUCUUGAUUGAUUAUUUGGUUUUUAUCAGAGAUCGAUGAUCAAGAAGAGUUCAUGGGGUUCAGGCAGCCCAGGUAGGCCUGGAAGACAUCAGGAGCCGUCAAAUGCGCCGAUGGCUUAUUCCAAGUCGCAAGACCAAGAGGUCAUGAUCACCUCAACAUCAAGGACACAGCACGAGUCUUCUCCUCCGUCCGGUUUCCCGAGUAACCGUUGAGAUGCUUCCAAUGAUGUACAUGUGAUGCAGUUUAUUUAGCUGGUGAUUUAUAACUUGCUGAACUCCUCAAAUUGUUCGUGCUAGCUUCCUGCUUUCACCUUUCACGUUGUUGUUUUGUGAAAAAGAGACAUCCUCUGCUUGCGAAUGAUUAAUCUGGUCCGCUUGAUCGUGAUUGGAAUGGAUUAGAGAUGUUGUAGAGUUGUAUGAUCGGGUAAUGAUUUUCUGAUGGAUUGCUAAAGAAUAAA